UUUCCUGGAAAAAUUAGAUGGGAGGCUCUAGACAGAGAGGUGCCAAGAAGCAGAGCUUAAUAUGACAAUCCAUUAACAUAAGAAAAACCAGCCUCCUCUGAUGCUUCACAUGUCAAUCCGUUUAUUCAACUGGACAAGGCAUGAAGCUCUUCUUGAAAUCUUUUCGAUGCGGAAUUUUAAUCAGGAACAUUUUUCUUGAGUUGCCUUCUAACAUGGUACAGCCAAAGGAUUCCGAGCUAUACAAGCCAGUAUUGAUGGAGUCUUACACCUCACCAGGUGGGUUCUCGCAAAAUUUUCAGUGUGCCUAUUGAGUUGAAUAGUUUUGAAAAUGUUUUUACGAAAUACUAUUGAUGAUUGAACCAGAUUCCAUUGUCCAUGUAUCAGGGGCUUCAUAUCCUGCAUUAGUUUUCUGGGAAUUCAAUUGAUUCAAUCAGAUUAAAAUAUUCUAAGACUCUCGUAAUGAUAACACAUUAUAACAUGUCCUGAUGCUGGUUCCUGAAACAGAAGGAUUCAUAGUUUCCAUGUACCUGUUUUCGUUAGGGCUUCCAUCCUAGAACGAAGUCUUAUGUUCUGCAUUAUUGGUGUCUCAUCUAGGUCAGCCCCCCUCAAAUUCCCGUCAGAACCUUUUGAUGCAGCAAGACCAGCGAAUUCUGGUGUUGUUGCAGUAUGUCCAAUGUCCAUGGCUAGCUUGGCUUCAGUAGGGAAGAAUAAUCUUGCAAAUGCCACUGUGAUGUACACCACAACACUUGAUCAUACAUUUAAUUAUAAGCGAUGGUAGAUAUCCAUUUGAAUCAAUCAAGAUCAUAAUUGAACAAAAGGUGCUAAAGCCAUAAAUCAAUGGGAUGCCUUCACCUUUGUGCGCAUCAAAUGCCAUUAAGAAAAUCUCUAUUUUCAUCAAGAUUGCAUGGUAGAUUAGGAGACUAAAAUAGAAAGAGCAUAAAAGCUCUUAUUUGGAGAAGAGCAGACAGGAUAGCUAGCAGGACACCCCCAGCACCCAAACCAAGGAAUUUAAAGCUCGGAUAAAGCAGCAAGAAGAUCAGUACUGUUAAUAUGUAGGUAUCUCAACAGAGUAUCUGAAAAUAUCAUUGCCGGAUUUCUCUCUAUGUGCAAGAACAAAAUUAUGCAGAUUAAGCCAGAAAAAGAAGCAAAUUUUCAAUUCAAUGCAAUCCAAAAGCAAAAUCGAGUCCCAUGGAGCUGAAAGUGCAUAUGAACGAUGCACUGGCUUCAGCAAAAAGACUAGUGAUUUGAUCCAAAGUUAUCACGUGCAGAACAAUAUACCUCUGUU